rnacentral:lncRNA from 1 species
GCCGCGCGCUGCAGCUCGAGUUCGGGCCGCGGGGGAGGCUUUGGAGCGGCGCCGGCGGUGGCUCGGCCGGCUCAGCCCCUCCGCCCCGCGUCCCCGCCGUGCGCGGCCUUCCCUGAGGCGGGCGUCCGCGUGGGUCCGGGAUCGCGUGGCCGGGCGGCCGGGCGCACUCCCGGGAUUCCAGGCUUCCGGGGUGGCGGGCGAGGCCCAGAAAGCACCAGGCCACCCGGCCGCGCCGGCACCCGCCGCGUCCUGCUUGACAGAGGCUGAUGGACGUGUAUUUCUCCACGCUUUCCGCUUGGCCCUCAUCCAGCUUCAGAUUUCUUCCAUCAAAUCAGAUAACGUCACUCGCGCUUGUAGCUUCAUCCGGGAGGCAGCAACGCAAGGAGCCAAAAUAGUUUCUUUGCCGGAAUGCUUUAAUUCUCCAUAUGGAGCGAAAUAUUUUCCUGAAUAUGCAGAGAAAAUUCCUGGUGAAUCCACACAGAAGCUUUCUGAAGUAGCAAAGGAAUGCAGCAUAUAUCUCAUUGGAGGCUCUAUCCCUGAAGAGGAUGCUGGGAAAUUAUAUAACACCUGUGCUGUGUUUGGGCCUGAUGGAACUUUACUAGCAAAGUAUAGAAAGAUCCAUCUGUUUGACAUUGAUGUUCCUGGAAAAAUUACAUUUCAAGAAUCUAAAACAUUGAGUCCGGGUGAUAGUUUCUCCACAUUUGAUACUCCUUACUGCAGAGUGGGUCUGGGCAUCUGCUACGACAUGCGGUUUGCAGAGCUUGCACAAAUCUACGCACAGAGAGGUGAGGCAGU